rnacentral:snoRNA from 1 species
GAAUAUGACGAGAAAAAAGCUGUGCACCAGUCUGAAAGAACCCAAAGUACUCAGGUGUUCUGUGAAGCAUAUAGUAUACCCAAAUUUCUGAUC